AAACUUUGCUUCAAACACAAAUAUUAAAAAAGUGCUUGCAUUCUGCUAAAUUUUCAUUUAAUUCGAUUUGACAAAGAAUUUGUUGUGUAAAAAAUGUUAACCACAGACUAUAACUAUUAAUAUUAGUACCUGUUUAUUUUGUCCGUAAAACACGGGAAAAUUUACUGCAUAAACAAUAUUAUGCUCUCAGUCAGUUUACUCAUUUGACCAC
rnacentral:lncRNA from 1 species